rnacentral:lncRNA from 1 species
GAUUAAUUUCAUAGAUGCUUCGAACUGAAAGAGAAUUUGAAUGUUAUUUUGGCCGAUCAUCAUAAUUAUUUUUUGUAUGCAACCAAAUUCUACAGAAGUAGUGGUUUUUCUUACUCAGUUUAUUCUGUAGCUUAAGUUGUCUCAAAUAUUAUUAAUAGAGAAACCAACUGGAUCAAGUGAGGAAGGAGUUGGCGAAGGUACUGAUGUGCAAGACACUGAAUUCACUUCUUGAGUAAAGUUGAGAAAAUGGGGGAUUUGGAUCCUGUUCAAGAUUUUGAAGCCAUGAUGUCUCAAAGAGAUAGUACAGAAUAGGUUAAUAAAGCAAUUCAAGAUAUGAAAAAUCACCCAGGAAAUUGCCUAGACACUAAAAGCCUACUUGUAAAUGAUGAUUCAAUUUAUCACAUAUUGUUUGGUUCAAUAUAUGACUAGAUAAUCAGUAUUUUAUCUUUAUUGGCGUGUAACUUUCAAUCUUGAAUAUUUUAUUCACACUUGUUGGCCCAUCCCCCUUCCUCAAUGUUAUUUUACAUCUCUUGUUGACUGCACAACGUCAUGGUAGGAAGAACAGUGGAAGUGUUGUUUUAGGAGUUAUUAAUGAUGAAGUUCUCGUGUUAUUAUCUAACAAUUUCUGCAGCUCUGCCAGAUUCAAAUUACAGUUGUAUUCAGGGAAAUAUGUUGACUGUAUUUUUUAUCCUUGUGAAAUUCAAGCAACCUUUCCCCAAAUUGACAUGAGAAAUGUAAACCGGUUAGCUAUGAGAAACAAAUCGCUGAAAUUCAGUGGCUUAUUUUAUUUUAUUUAUUUAUUUUCCCCCCAAUUUGCAUGAGAAAUUUGUGUUCCGAACUUGUAAUGUUGACUCUUUUUGCAGACUACUACGAAACAUCUGUCAAAUAUUUUGAGUUUUUCCUUGAACAGGAACCCAAACAAUCCAAUGAUUUCCUGCACCAUCUUGUCAAAUUCUGCCAAGAGAAAGACCUCAAAAGAUUAGGUGAAUAUCUUGCAUCACUAGAAAUUACACUGAUAAGCAAGAAAGAAGCACCUGACAGGUCGGUUAUUACAAAGUUUGUCCUACAAUUCUUCAUGGCCUUCAUUUUUUACUUUUAUUCUCACCUCGUAAUUUUAGCAUAAUGCUUAUUGUUGGUGCAUAUAUCCUUGCUAUCCAAACAGUGAGUCUCCCAGGAUGAUGCCUGAAGCUUUAUUGUUAAAAGGGAGCCAAAAGCCGAGCAAGGAUUGUGAGAAUUGACCUGGUGGCCUCUAGUUUGGCAUGGGCACGAGAAAUUCACUCAGAUAUUUUGAUGAUAUAUUUUCUACUCGUGUCUUUGAUAUGUAUAACUUCAACAGGAAUCACGCCAAACAAUGGAUUUGAAACUUGUCCAUUCUGGAAAGUUGCACAGAUUUUUCAAGCUUAAUCUUUCAAUUGGCAAUGAAAGAAAACUUGAUGUUAAUGUAAAAUGAUGUUUCAAUGAACUAUUGGGUAGACGGUAAGUUGUACAACCAAUUUUGGACGUUGGAUCUCAACUUCUUUCAAAGAGUCUCUAUUUUAAUUCUUGGAGGGUGUAGACUUGCAGUACUACGUAAAUUGUGUAAUGCAGUAUGGAAGAAAUGCUUCAUUUUUUACUUCUUCUCAUUUUGAGUGUUGGAAUGUUUAGUAUUAAUAUCAUUCUGGGA